GAACGCAGCGAAAUGCGAUACUUGGUGUGAAUUGCAGAAUCCCGUGAACCAUCGAGUCUUUGAACGCAAGUUGCGCCCUAAGCCUUGGCUGAGGGCACGCCUGCCUGGGU
rnacentral:rRNA from 1 species